AAAUUGAAGAGUUUGAUCAUGGCUCAGAUUGAACGCUGGCGGCAGGCCUAACACAUGCAAGUCGAACGGUAACAGGAAGCAGCUUGCUGCUUUGCUGACGAGUGGCGGACGGGUGAGUAAUGUCUGGGAAACUGCCUGAUGGAGGGGGAUAACUACUGGAAACGGUGGCUAAUACCGCAUAACGUCGCAAGACCAAAGAGGGGGACCUUCGGGCCUCUUGCCAUCAGAUGUGCCCAGAUGGGAUUAGCUUGUUGGUGAGGUAACGGCUCACCAAGGCGACGAUCCCUAGCUGGUCUGAGAGGAUGACCAGCCACACUGGAACUGAGACACGGUCCAGACUCCUACGGGAGGCAGCAGUGGGGAAUAUUGCACAAUGGGCGCAAGCCUGAUGCAGCCAUGCCGCGUGUAUGAAGAAGGCCUUCGGGUUG
rnacentral:rRNA from 1 species